UUCAGAACCUUGAAUAGCCCC
rnacentral:miRNA from 1 species